rnacentral:rRNA from 1 species
AGAGGGUGCGAGCGUUGUUCGGAAUUAUUGGGCGUAAAGGGCGCGUAGGCGGCGCGGUAAGUCACCUGUGAAAUCUCCUGGCUCAACUGGGAGCUUGCAGGCGAAACUGCCGUGCUGGAGUGUGGGAGAGGUGCGUGGAAUUCCUGGUGUAGCGGUGAAAUGCGUAGAUAUCAGGAGGAACACCUGUGGCGAAAGCGGCGCACUGGACCACAACUGACGCUGAGGCGCGAAAGCUAGGGGAGCAAACAGGAUUAGAUACCCUGGUAGUCCUAGCCCUAAACGAUGGAUGCUUGGUGUGAUCGGUACCCAAUCCGAUCGUGCCGAAGCUAACGCGAUAAGCAUCCCGCCUGGGGAGUACGGUCGCAAGGCUG